CUCCGUAUGUCAGUGAUAUGAGGGGAAAGUAAAUAAAAACAAAAACAAAAAAAAAACAGAUAAAACCAGUAGUGCGAAUACGUUGUGAACACAAAUUUAAUUUUAUCAGUGAGAUAGUAUCGAAAAAGGGUAUAUAUAAGGGAAAAUUCGAAUGAAAAGUUUUUUGGCGACAAAAGGUUCGUUCCUCCGUUGAAUAACCUGAAAUAGAAAUAAAAUUGGGAAUUAAUUAACGAUCGAAAUUGUGUAGAGCAGGAAAAUGUGUGCACCCGUGGCCGAGUGGUUAGCGUCCCACACUAUCAUGCCGGGUGUUCGGGUUCGAUUCCCGUUCUGGUUGGGGGAUUUUUCGUCAAAGAAAAUUCUUCCGGCUUGCACUGUGGUCACGCGUAUUCUAGAGCUUGCCACUCUAGAGUACAUUCAAGGCGUGUUAUUCGGCAUAGAAAUCUCAACCAAGUAUUAAUGAACGACGCUAGUUAAUGAAUACGUUGAGACGGCAAAAGUUCCACAGGGAACGUUAACGCCAUUCAAGAAGAAGAAGAGCAGGAAAAGCCGACGAAUAAUAAAUAAAUUCGUGGACGGUAUAAAACGGUUGUAGCGUGCAAGAGGGUAAAGUGAACUACUUCUUGUAAGUUAAGUGAUAGAAUUUAUUGAAUUUGUAAACUAAUAAAUAUAAUUAUUGCAGUUUGAG